CACUUGCUGCCCACUCUCACCCAUACCCUCUCAUUCCCCUCCCUCAUCGCCUCUUCGCAUCGUCGCCGGCCACCGCAGCCCAUCGCGUUCUCCCUCCGGCAGCCCACCGUGUUCUUCCUCCUGCAGCCCAGCGCUUACUUCCUCUCCUUCCUUUCUCACUACUUGCUUCCUCUCCUUCCUUUCCCAUCCCGAGGUCAAAAGACUGGUUUUUUAUGCGUCGGUGAAGAGAUUCUGGGCGGCGGAGCUGGUGUGGGCGCCGAUGCCGGAUCCGCGUGUGCGUACGCUGGAUCUGGGCGACAGAGCGGCGCUGGACAGAGUGGAGUGGCGACAGAGCGGAGUAGCGGAGUGGCCCCGGGGAAGGAUGCCUUGGCCGGCUGCGGGUGCCUUGGGUGGGGCUGCGCGUCUAUGCGGCGACCUCAUCGAGACCAAGAAGCCGAUGUCGGUGAUGCUGCUGCACAUCGAUGACCUCCUCCCUCUAAUGCGUGCCCGCCAUCGUGCGCCGUGAUAGUCGAUGUAGGGAGAGGAGGACGACCCCAGCCAUGGAGCAGCAACAACUCAAGUUUAAGGUAAAAGUGAUGGUCAUGGGUGAAAUUAGGGACGAUGCCCAGCAGCAAAAACUCACCAACACCUGCUCCGACACCAUGGACCAACAGCAGCAACUGAAGGAUGUGGGUGAGGAAAGCGGACAUGCUCAUGGAUCGACAAGGCGGUGAAGGAUGAGCUUGUUCACUGCUGAGACCGUAUCACUUUUUAUGUACUCUUUCUUGUGUCUUGAAAUAGAUGCAGUCAAGGAGAAAGAAAGGUGCCGCAUUUAGCUAGUAAGGGAAGAUGAGGAAGCUCACCGACUGCAUCUUCGUCGGCAUCAAUGCCCUCGUGCAUGUCGAUAUCAUCUUCACCAGGAUCAAUGCUCUCGUGCAUGUCGAUAUCAUCGAUAUCAUCUUCAUCGGGACCGACUCCUCCAUGUAUGUCCUCUUCUUCGGGGGCAGUACAGUUCAGAUCAAAUUCCAUGUUGAUUACUAUCUUUACCUCUUGCAAGUUGUUGUGUCGUGUUGGAGAUGCUGCCUGCUUCAAGCUGUUGCUGUUGCUGCCUACUUCAAGCCCUCCAGGAGGCGAUCUAGACCAAGUGUGGAGGCUAUCUGCAGCAGUACCUGGAGCUGCAUGGGAGGGCGCGGUGAUCUGGACCUGUGGCUGCCAAUCUGAAGCAGUACCCCCUCCGGCGAGCAGUACCUCGAUCUGAAGUAGUACUCUCUGGAGCUGGCGAGGCCUUGGGAGGGGGACAACGAUCUGAGCAGCACCCCCUCCGACGAGGCGAGUUGGUGAGGCCCCCUCCAGCGACAGGGGGCACUUUUAUACUUUCCUCCCUUUUCACCUGGUCGGGACGUUUUCUAAAACGUCAUAUAUUUCGGAACGGAGGGAGUAGCAAAUGGACUGUAAAUUAUUGAAAAUAAUGGCUAAUGGGUUGUAUGCUGUUUUCCACAGAUUUGGAGGCUGACUUCAGGGCCUACUAGGUAUAUGA